rnacentral:rRNA from 1 species
AACGAACGCUGGCGGCAUGCCUAACACAUGCAAGUCGAACGAGACCUUCGGGUCUAGUGGCGCACGGGUGCGUAACGCGUGGGAACCUGCCCUUAGGUUCGGAAUAACUCCCCGAAAGGGGUGCUAAUACCGGAUAAUGUCUUCGGACCAAAGAUUUAUCGCCUUUGGAUGGGCCCGCGUUGGAUUAGCUAGUUGGUAGGGUAAAAGCCUACCAAGGCGACGAUCCAUAGCUGGUCUGAGAGGAUGAUCAGCCACACUGGGACUGAGACACGGCCCAGACUCCUACGGAAGGCAGCAGUGGGGAAUAUUGGACAAGGGGCGAAAGCCUGAUCCAGCAAUGCCGCGUGAGUGAUGAAGGCCUUAGGGUUGUAAAGCUCUUUUACCCGGGAUGAUAAUGACAGUACCGGGAGAAUAAGCUCCGGCUAACUCCGUG